CUAUACAGCCUCUAUUUGUAUCUCCACCUACACACGGCAAGCCAGAGUUAAAAUGAUAAUGCAGAUAACAAAAUGAUGAAAUUUUGUACUUGGAUUUAAG
rnacentral:sRNA from 1 species